GCCUCACCACACUAUAAUGGGAAUAUUUGUGAUCUUUAGAUUUAGCGGCUAAAUUGGUUUAUGGUACACUGCUUUAGGCUUGGUCCUAUCUAGUUUAUAUUUAUUUUAAAGUUAAAAUAGUGGGUUGAUAGAUUCUAGAUUGUUUAUACAUGGAAAGAAAAGAGUACUUCAGCUUCCAACCAUUGUACUAGUCAUAUUCUACA
rnacentral:lncRNA from 1 species